AGUUAUUAUUUUUUUUUCGGAAUUGAAUUUAUUGGGGGACACAUCGGUGAAUAAAAUGAAAUGAAAUGCAAUAGGAUAAAAUGAAAGGCCUGGCCUUGCAAACUCAGACACCUCAAGUGACCACCCAGGAUGUUCUGAAUUUAAAAAAAAAAAAA